rnacentral:sRNA from 1 species
UUCCUCGUUAGGUGAGGCUCCUAUAUGGAAAUAAACUACUACCCAGAAACGUCGAGAGACACCAAUGGGUCAACAAAAUUAGUCGGAUCAAGGCUUGUUUUAAUGUAGCUGGUAAGUCAUCUUAAACCAAGCCAUAUAGUGCUAAAACUCUACAGUG